CGAACGGUAACAGGAAGCAGCUUGCUGCUUUGCUGACGAGUGGCGGACGGGUGAGUAGUGUCUGGGAAACUGCCUGAUGGAGGGGGAUAACUACUGGAAACGGUAUCUAAUACCGCAUAACGUCGCAAGACCAAAGAGGGGGACCUUCGGGCCUCUUGCCAUCGGAUGUGCCCAGAUGGGAUUAGCUAGUAGGUGGGGUAACGGCUCACCUAGGCGACGAUCCCUAGCUGGUCUGAGAGGAUGACCAGCCACACUGGAACUGAGACACGGUCCAGACUCCUACGGGAGGCAGCAGUGGGGAAUAUUGCACAAUGGGCGCAAGCCUGAUGCAGCCAUGCCGCGUGUAUGAAGAAGGCCUUCGGGUUGUAAAGUACUUUCAGCGGGGAGGAAGGCGAUAAGGUUAAUAACCUUGUCGAUUGACGUUACCCGCAGAAGAAGCACCGGCUAACUCCGUGCCAGCAGCCGCGGUAAUACGGAGGGUGCAAGCGUUAAUCGGAAUUACUGGGCGUAAAGCGCACGCAGGCGGUCUGUCAAGUCAGAUGUGAAAUCCCCGGGCUCAACCUGGGAACUGCAUUCGAAACUGGCAGGCUAGAGUCUUGUAGAGGGGGGUAGAAUUCCAGGUGUAGCGGUGAAAUGCGUAGAGAUCUGGAGGAAUACCGGUGGCGAAGGCGGCCCCCUGGACAAAGACUGACGCUCA
rnacentral:rRNA from 1 species